GAGUUUGAUCGUGGCUCAGAUUGAACGCUGGCGGCAUGCCUUACACAUGCAAGUCGAACGGUAACAGGUCUUCGGAUGCUGACGAGUGGCGAACGGGUGAGUAAUACAUCGGAACGUGCCCGAUCGUGGGGGAUAACGAAGCGAAAGCUUUGCUAAUACCGCAUGAGAUCUACGGAUGAAAGCAGGGGACCGCAAGGCCUUGCGCGAACGGAGCGGCCGAUGGCAGAUUAGGUAGUUGGUGGGAUAAAAGCUUACCAAGCCGACGAUCUGUAGCUGGUCUGAGAGGACGACCAGCCACACUGGGACUGAGACACGGCCCAGACUCCUACGGGAGGCAGCAGUGGGGAAUUUUGGACAAUGGGCGAAAGCCUGAUCCAGCCAUGCCGCGUGCAGGAUGAAGGCC
rnacentral:rRNA from 1 species